GUGCUCACACAUGCUACAAAUGGAAUGCUACAGAAAGACUAGCAUGGCCCCUGCGCAAGGAUGAACCACGGUGGGUGCAAUAAACAAAGUUUAU
ensembl:snRNA U6 U6 spliceosomal RNA